UACGAAGGGGCUAGCGUUGCUCGGAAUCACUGGGCGUAAAGCGCACGUAGGCGGAUUGCUAAGUCAGGGGUGAAAUCCUGGAGCUCAACUCCAGAACUGCCUUUGAUACUGGCGAUCUUGAGUCCGGGAGAGGUGAGUGGAACUGCGAGUGUAGAGGUGAAAUUCGUAGAUAUUCGCAGGAACACCAGUGGCGAAGGCGGCUCACUGGUCCGAUACUGACGCUGAGGUGCGAAAGCGUGGGGAGCAAACAGGG
rnacentral:rRNA from 1 species